rnacentral:rRNA from 1 species
AUUGAGCGCUGGCGGCAGGCCUAACACAUGCAAGUCGAGCGGAUGAAGGGAGCUUGCUCCUGGAUUCAGCGGCGGACGGGUGAGUAAUGCCUAGGAAUCUGCCUGGUAGUGGGGGAUAACGUCCGGAAACGGGCGCUAAUACCGCAUACGUCCUGAGGGAGAAAGUGGGGGAUCUUCGGACCUCACGCUAUCAGAUGAGCCUAGGUCGGAUUAGCUAGUUGGUGGGGUAAAGGCCUACCAAGGCGACGAUCCGUAACUGGUCUGAGAGGAUGAUCAGUCACACUGGAACUGAGACACGGUCCAGACUCCUACGGGAGGCAGCAGUGGGGAAUAUUGGACAAUGGGCGAAAGCCUGAUCCAGCCAUGCCGCGUGUGUGAAGAAGGUCUUCGGAUUGUAAAGCACUUUAAGUUGGGAGGAAGGGCAGCAAGUUAAUACCUUGCUGUUUUGACGUUACCAACAGAAUAAGCACCGGCUAACUUCGUG